GUUUGUCACUUGCAGAAAGAAUCCUGUGCUGUUUCUUCUAAUCUGAUCAAAAAGAAGACCAAGCUAUAAACAACUAAAGAUGGAAUCCCACUGAAACUGGCCAGAAGCCCAUGGAAAACAAAUGAUGCAGAGACCUGGAAACUCAGUGCCUUGCUGCAAUGGGAGGAAGAUCAUCCCACAUCUACCACCCGCUCCAGGGAUCAGGGAGCUUUUCAGAAGAGAACUGUUUUCACUUCUCUGGAAUUCCAUAUGGAUUUCAGAAUCAGCUUGCUAAUGUCCACAAAGAAGCAAUCUUGG